GCUCGAGGGGCCGAAUGGCCUACUCCUGCACUUGUUUUCUAUGUUUCUAUGUUUACCCACGCCCUCUAAUGUUUCACGUACACUGCCUGGUGGGUCAGUCCGUACAUUCCAUUCUGCACCAAUGUCGGUAUUCUCUGUCGGCUACCCGCUUCCAAUCUCUCAUUUGAUUCCUUUGCAGUAGAACAUAUGAGCAAUCUCUCCCACCGGGGGGGGGGCCUGAAGGUGAUCAGAGUUCUCCUCACUCCUACUCUGACAGCAACCUGCUCACAUCUGAGAACUCACCACAUGCAGAUCCUAUCUCAACACCGUGCGCUAAAUGUCACUCUCUGAACUGCUGACCACAAUUGUCAGAUCAUGUAGGUCUGUCAUCUGGAUCAGUGGGACUUCUUGGCUACCUCAGAGAAUGGAGAAUGCACAAGGGUGCAAUUUAGCACUAGUGGGUGGGGGUGAGGAUGGAGUCACCCGCUAGUGCGUGCAUAUACAAGCAAGGAUAAGGGUUACCUUAUGUAACCCUUAUGCGAGGGUAAAUUUUCUUAUAGACACAAAAUGCUGGAGUGACUCAGUGGGGCAGGCAGCAUCUCUGGAGAGAAGAAUUGGGUGUAUCAAUACUUUUCUUAAGACCCUUACAUGUCAGAUUUUACGCAAGUCACAAUCACCAUGCCCGUAUCCUAUCCACAGUAACUCAUUGAUAGCACAAAUUGUCAGCAGUGUCUGUCUGGCUGCGUCCAGGGCACUUUCUACAGCGUGUGGCCUUCUGGGUAACUAUGCCACCAUUGCCGUCUUUAGUUCCAUCUCACCAUUGUGGCACUUCCUGGCCUUUUGGAUAAGUACCAUUGCCCGCUUGGUUCCAAUGUAAACAUUUAGUGAUCGUACAGUGUUGUGGAAAUUACAAACAGUCUUGAUCACUACGAGAACAAUAAGAUGGAUAGGAGGGCAAUAAACUGUGGCUACCGCUAUUGAAGUAUCAGCAAAUGGGCAUAGAUAAUUGUGUAUCAUGAUCCCAAGGAUAAGGGACUGAGUGAAGAAUUAUUUACGUAAGUGCAAGUUUACGUAAGUUGCCUAUUGCAUGUCGAGAACAGUUAAUUUAUCAACCAUAAGAGAUUUUACAAUCACAGAGAUACAGCAUGGAAACAGACCCGUCGGCCCAACUUGCCCACACCGGCCAACAUGUCCCAGCUGCACUGGUCCCACCUGCCUGUGUGUGGUCCAUAUCCCUCCAAACCUGUCCUAUCCAUUUUAGGACAUGGGAUAACUGGCUGAGUAUAAUAUCAUCUUUAAUAGUCUAUGAUCUGCUACUAACCAAUCACUUUGGCUGAUUAACAAGAUUGACCUGCUGGUUCAUCUCAAGAGAGAGAAAGCCAGUGGAGCUGUGCUUGACCCUGCUGGUGUGGUUCCCUCAUGCUGUUUGUCUGUUCCCUUCUCCUGCAAGCGGAGUGCGUUGAUGACUAUUUUGCAAUGUGAGUGAAUGAUAUCCUCCAAAGUUUGAUCAGAUUCAGUGUGCGUGAGGGAUGGAGUGUAUGAAUGUGUGACAUUUAAAUGUCAGGUCUCAGCCCCCAGGUUCGAGACGUGAGGAAGCUACACAAUCACUAUGUCUUGUGUAGGAAGGAACUGCAGAGUUGCUGGUUUACACCGAGGAUAGAUACAAAAUGCUGGAGUAAUUCAACAGCACAGGCUGCAUCUCUGGAGAGAAGAAAUGGGUGAAGUUUCGGGUCGAGAUCCUUCUUCAGACCCUGAGAUUCUGCCUGUCCCAUUGAGUUAAUCCAGCAAUUUGUGUCUAUCUUCAAUUAUUAUGUCUUGUUUGGACCAAUGUGCGAGUUUAAUUAUACAGUAGAUGCAGGAGCAACUAGGUGAUGCGUUGACACACCUUGACCAUGCAGUUCUGCUAAAUGUUAUUUGUCAGUCUGUCCUUUGCACUCACUGGGUGUAGGAAGGAAUUUCAGAUAGACACAGAAAGUUGGAGUAACUCAGCGGGACAGGCAGCAUCUCUGGAGAGAAGGAAUGGGUGACGUUUCGGAUUACUCCAGCAUUUUGUGUCUACCCAUUUCCUUUCUCCAGAAAUGCUUUCUGACCCGCUGAGUUACUCCAGCUUUUUCGUGUCUAUUCCUUCCUAUGAACCCGUUGCUUAAUGACGCGUUAGUAUUUCUGCAUUGGUUGGAUGAUAAACUCAAAUGAUCACGGGGUUUGGAGAGGAUGUCUAUCUGAUAGGGUCCCUUUAUUGGCAUUUAUACGACAUAACAAAGGGCGAGAAAACCAGGAUGAGUAUUUGCAUAAACCAUUGUGAAGUCAACUAGCCCACUCUGCCAUCAGUAGGAAACACACUCACUACGUCCCGACACUCACGUUUCUCAAACAUAUUGAUCACACAUUCCAAAAACCAAAAUGACAUAAACAAUGUGUGUUUAUUUUCAAAGACGUUUUGUUUUACCAUUAAGUUAAAACAAGGGAACCUCCUCAUGAGUUACAAGGUUGGGAAAUAUUGGAUGUGUGACAUCCAUCUCUGCUUUAUUGUUUUUAAAAUACUCGUACGAAACAGUAUGCAGUCUAUAAAAAUGUGUGUUCAAACCAUUUAUCCAGGCAAAUUCUAGUCUUUGAUACUUUGCGUUUGAUGAAAAUAGACAAACAAAAAAUAUAUACUCGCUAUUUUAUUUUGUUAUUCCAGAUUGUUCAAUAGCUUCAGGCUAAGAGAAGCAUCUUUUCAUCAUAUUUCUUCCACUAUUUCCUUUUCUUCCUCCACUCUGUCUGACAUACAAUUGCUAUUAUUUUCCAAACACUUCAAUAAAAUUGAUGGCUUGUAAUCUUAAUUCACACUCGUUUGAAGUCAGGGGGAGAAACUGGAUUAAACUGGAGAAUGUGCAGUGGGACCAUGAUGCAUGAUUAACUCGGGCCUUUUUGAUGUAGCUGAGAUUGCACAUAAAAUAUUUCCUCCUGCUUUAUUAGCAGUGUCUAGGCAGCUCGAAGCACCCCGUUUAUUGUGUACAGCACUGGGUGGCUGAUCCUGCCGACUGAUGCCAGGGGUGCGUGCACCUUUUACACGGGAGGUGUUCAUUGCUUGCAACUAAAUGAGGAAAAAAGAAUAUUUACUGGAGACAACAGGUGCUGUGUUACUUCAGCAUGUUUGUGCUGGAAACGCAAGUACUGAGUUAUUUACUGGGGACACAAGUACUGAGUUGAUGGAAUCCUGGCCAAAACCCAAAGUGCUGGAGAAACUCAGUGGGUUGGGUAGCAACUGUGGAGGACAUGGAUAGGUGACGUUAAUGGUUUUUCUGGAUGUUUGGUACAAACCAUGGAUGCUAGAGUCACCACCGAUCUUCUGGAGGAGGGAAGGGAAGGAGGAAUAUUCUUUACCUGCAGAGCCCAAAGAAUCCCUCCAAAUCCAAUGAGAGAUGGUCAUACUCAAGGUUAAUGUAAGGGGUGAAGGCCCAAAAGCAUGACUGCAGCACCACAGGAAGAUUAAUGACCUUAUAUGUGGACAAGUUCAGAAGAAAACAUUCAAAUGCUUUUCCCGUAACUACUGCUGCAGCAUUGUGCUUUGUUCCAUCCUGUAGUCCUAUAAUCCUGUUUAAUUAAUAUUGUAUGUUUCACAUUCAAAGAUACAGGUACUACAAUUCUAUACUUUACCUUCCUGAAACAAUACACAGAUUUGGAAUAAAGAAGGCUUGGAAGAUAGCAGAGUCAGGGGAUAUUGGGACAAGGGAGGAACGGGGUACUGAUUGUGGAUGAUCAGCCAUGAUCACAUUGAAUGGCGGUGCUGGCUUGAAGGGCCGUAUGGCCUACUCCUGCACCCAUUGUCUAUUGUCUAUCAUUCCGAAUCCAUAAAAGCAUUCAUUCUCCUUCCAUGGUUGUCUGCCUUCGCCUAUUAAUUGUUUGCAUUCUCUUGUCCAGAGUCUGUCCAUUCCCUCUACAGAUAUUGCCCAACUGUGGGGCGGCAUGGUGUCACAGUAAGUUGCUGGCUUACAGCAACAGAGACCGGGUUCGAUCCCAACUACAGGUGCUGUCUGUACGGAGUUUGUACGUUCUACCCGUGACUGCGUGUGCUUUCUCUGAGAUCUUCGGUUUCCUCCCACACUCAAAGACGUACAGGUUUGUAAGUUAAUUGGCUCGGUAGAAAUGUAAAUUGUGUGAAGGAUAGUGUUGAUGUGCGGGGGUCGCUUGUCGGUGCGGGCUCGGUGGGCCAAAGGGCCAAAGGGCCUGUUUCCGCACUGUAUCUCUAAACUAAACCUGCCGACUCCCACCUGAACUUUGUAGUUCUUAAAGCUCGGAUUGUCGUAGGUCUGAACAGGUUUGCUCAGAUGCAGGGCUGCAUGGAGAUUUGAACCAAAGGAUGAGAAGUUACAAACCAAAGACUAUUGCAGCCUAGGUAACAGUGUAAAUGGCUGAUGCAUAAACAGAAUGCGGUAGGAGUUUAGUUUUGGGGAGCAGAGUUAUUGAUAAGGAUGGUGCAGGCACAUGCCGUGAGUAAUUACUCAGGGUAGGCAGUCAGUCGGCUUUUAAAAAAUCUUAAACCGCGCAUGCGCAGAUUAUGUCUACCUGAGAGAUCGAUCUCUUAGGUAGGCAUCAUUCUUCUGUGCCUUUAUAAUUUAUAUUUAAUAAUUACCAUUUUAUAAUUUUAGUCAGGGUAGGCAGUACCUACAUUGCCUACCCUAUCGGCAUGUGCCUGGGAUGGUGUGAGGUAAAGGCUGGCCAUUUGAGAACACGGGCCUAGAAUUAUUGCAUAUUUGGGUUUGUUCCCAAACAAAUUCUUGCUUUAUCUUUAAAUUCGUGCCUUUUCUUUAAAUCUUGUAACAUCUUCCAUAUUUCCAGCAGAUCUCUUUAUAAAGUAAUCACGAGUUAAUUCUUUACUAGCAUACUUAAUACCUCUAUUUCAAACCUCAUGUGUAGCACCCUGAGUCUAUUCGCAUUUUUCCUUAACAGAGGUUACCAGCAAUAGCAGGAACUUGAUGGAAAAUGUGUUUUUCUGAAAAGUCAUUGAGUCAUUUUCAAAAGAAAUAGUGCGCUGAAUGGCUAAAUUAAUGAAUUUUCCAACAUUUAGCAGCUUGAUCAUUAUUAGGAGUUAUUAUUGCAGGUGCGCUGUGACUGUCUGCCAGCGACACUUCACUAAGCAAUCGCAUUCUUGUUGGAUAAAACGCAUUUCUAAGCAGGAUUUAGCGGUGAUAUAUUUCUCUUAAUUUCCAUAACUAAAGGAAUGUUGAAUUCCACUAAUGUGGUAAAGCAUUUCUUAAGAAGUUUCAGAAUAAUAAAGUGCUUUAACAGAAGUGCUUAUGGAUGUACACACCCAUGUACCCACAUCCAUUUAGCUUUAAAGGAAAUGGUGUUGAUGAUGAGAUAUGCCUUAUUAAAUGUGUUAUAAAGUGAUGGGCUCGAUACUACAAUGAUAACUGGUUGAUUUUUUUUUCUUUUCAUCUGCAAAAAUAAACAGCCACAAUCCAGAUAUUUUGGUUUAGUUUCGAGUUUAGAGAUACAGCGCGGAAACAGGCCCUUCGGCCCACCGAGUCCGUGUUGACCAGCGAUCCCCGCACACUAACACUAUCUUAGACACACUAGGGAUAAUUUUUACCGAAGCAAAUUAGCCUACAGCCCUGUACGUCUUUGGAGUGCAAAAGAAAACCGGAGCACCCAGAGAAAAUGCACGCGGGCACAUGGAGAAAGUACAAACUCCAUACAGACAGCAAUCGUGGCCAGGAUGGAAACUGGGUUUCUAACGCUGUAAGGCAGCAACUACCUCUGCGCCUCCCCGCCACCUUUGAAAUAGUUAUAUUUGCUAAACAUGGAAUAAUGUAGAGGUUCAGUUCAGUUUCCACUAAAGUCAAUGAGACAACAUUUUAUAAGCAGAAUAACAUAGACCCGUUACCACAAUUGUGAAUGCAUCUGAUGAAACCUAGUACACAUUCUUUACUUCAGCUGCAGGCCAGGUAGCAAUUAGGCAGAAAAAACACUUCAUGAAAUUAGCCACAUUUCAUUAGCCCACAGCUAACAAUGGCCUGUUUCUUGAUCGUUACUUCAUUUGUUCUAUAACUCUCUAUAUCACUAUCUAUGUCUCUAUUUCCCUUUCCCCUGACCCUCAGUCUGAAGAAUGGUCAUGACCUGAAACGUCACCAAUUCCUUCUAUCCAGAUAAAUUGUCUGACCCACUGUUACUCCAGCUUUUUGUGUCUAACUUCAUGAAAAAAGGAGUUCUGGUGAAAGUUUACUGAACUGUAAUAUUGCACUGAAGAUAGACACAAAUUACAGGAGUAACUCAGCGGGACAGGCAACAUUCCCGGAGAGAAGGAACAUUUCAAGUCGAGAUCCUUCUUCAGGCUGAUCAGACUGUCAGUGUAUUAUUGCACCCUUUUGUGUCCCUGUCACCUCUAGCCUUUGUUACUUCCGCCAGGUGCCGCCAGCUCGUUGGGUCCCCUGGUGGAAGUGGGGGGUAGAGCAACGGGAGCCUCGCCCCAUUACCAGGUGACCGAGGCACGCGUUGCCAGGGCUGUGUAGGUGCAAUGGCGCGCACUACAUCGGCAUUCCGACCCGCCGGGACCUCACUUUGUGGCAGCCGCUGCAAACCCACGCCCAAUGCAUCGCUCCUCAAGUGUGUUUUUAACUGCUCGCUCUCUCCUACCCACCACCUUUCCGCUGCCCAAGGCCUCACUGCACGCCGAGCACCAACCGCCACCACGAACGGACGCCUCAGUUUGUUUUGACCAAAACCCGUUAUAUAGAAGAUAGACACAAAGAGCUGGAGUAACUCAGCGGGACAGGCAGCAUCUCUGGAGGGAAGGAAUGGGCGAUGUUUCGGGUCGCGACCCUUCUUCAGACUAGUCAGGGGAAAGAGAUACAUGAGAUAUAGAUGGUGAUGUAGAGAGAUAAAGAACAAUGAAUAAAAGAUAUGCAAAAAAGUAACGAUGAUAAUGGAAACAGGCCAUUGUUAACUGUUUGUUGGGUGAAAACGAGAAGCUGGUGCGACUGGUGGGGAAGGGAUAGAGAGAGAGGGAAUGGCGGGGUUACUUGAAGUUAGAGAAAUCAAUAUUCACACCACUGGGCUGUAAGCUGCCCAAGCGAAAUAUAAGAUGUUGUUCCUCCAAUUUGCGAUUAGCCUCACUCUGACAAUAGAGGAGACCUAGAAUAGAAAGGUCAGUGUGGGAAUGAGAAGGAGAAUUAAAGUGUUUAGCAACCAGGAGAUCAGGUAGGUCCAGGCGGACUGAGCGAAGGCGUUCAGCAAAACGAUCGACCACCCUACGUUUGGUCUCGCCGACGUAUAAGAGUCCACAUCUUGGACAACGGAUACAGUCGAUGAGGCUGGAGGAGGUGAGGUCCGUAAUUGAGAGGAUUUAAUGUAUUAUACAUCUAAUAUUAGGGAACAAUUGUUUCACAUCCUUCAUGCUACAAUCCCCUAUUGAGGUCACCUGUGUGCUACAGAAUACUCUGUCUAACACGAUCUUCAGUAACACGCCAAAAAAUGAAAUUACAGACUGCCUGUACACUUCUUCGAGCUAGAUGCCAGGCAGAUUCCUGGUAUAUACCUCCAACAUAAAAAAUGCAAGCAAGGCUGUAAUCCAGCUAUUUGGUGAAAUUGGACCCUUCACUGUAGGUUAAGUCAAUGUACAGCGAGCAUCACCCUCUACAGAUGCUGCCUGACCCGCUGAGUUCCUCGAGCACUUGCUUUUUUUUUUGCAACAGUUAACAUCAAGCAGUUGCUAACAUUAUUGUGAUGAGGUCGCAGCACUAAUGCUUUGUGCAUUUUCUGUGCAUGUAUUAAAUGUCAUGUGUUAAUCACAUAUUGCAAUCCUACCAACUUUCCAUGAUUAUCCAGUUAAACCCACAACAUUUUAACAGAAGCAGUAACUGCUGUGUUCUCAUAUUUCCAAAGAAUCAAAAUUGGAUCAGUGGACUAAGAUGCCAAGAGAGGAUUGUAGCUUGAUCGAAGUUACGCCUUUUUAAGAUUUAUAAAUAGUUUCAUUGACAAAAGGAAACAGUCCCCAAAGAAAGAGUAAAAAGUUUUCAUGCCUCUGUGCAACUCUGAGCAGUCUACAACAUGUAUAUUCCUCACAUUCCUUUUUUAUUACCAACUACGAUAUAAGACAGUGAUCCCUUUAACAAAUAGCUGAAUAAGAUACAGGCUCAAGGAAAGAGCAGAAAAGUGAGAUUUACUGAAUGGCUCUUUCAAAAAGAUGCACAAAGGGCUAAAUGGUCUUCUGUGCAGUAGGAGUCUGUGAUUCUAGAAGAUACCGGGGGUAAAUCCACAAACUGGCUCUCGUAGACGCAAGUGUUGGGAAAUCAAGAGAUGCACAAUCUGUGAUUUAUUGUUCAUUAAUGAGCAGAAAACCGUGAACCACUUGAAGAGAUACACUGCCGCUGAGUGUUGCUCCUUGCUGCAUGCUCCCAGAUCACUGAAUCACUCCUCUUGCAGAUGUUCAUUUGUAUUUGGUGUUUUCAACAAUGAAUGCUCCUGCAACUUUGGUUUCAAUAGCCCAGCCGUUUUCACAAAUUAUCUCGUGUUGGACAGAGCUGGUUAAGAGGUUGGACGCAUCUGGGAUGCAGCAUAUCAGAAUCUGCCCCUGGCAAAGAAUAAGGAAAAGUCAACAGGAAUUAAGUUUCAGUGCAACUGUUUACUCAACUGUGGCCUGCAGUUAUUGAAAUCUUAUCCAUGGUUUUGUGUGACUACAGCAAUAAUGAAUUCAGCAUGACUGCAGUCCUCUAAGUAAUGGCA